rnacentral:lncRNA from 1 species
AGAGGAACGAUCGAUUCGUCUUGAAGAGGUGUCUCCAUAAGAGGCUAUUUUUCACGUGGCAAUCUAUAUUAACAAAAUGGACCAUUCGAAGCUUUUUAGAACGUUCACAUCAGCAAAAAAUUAUUUUUUUGAAAAAAAAACACAUGAUUUUUUUUUUGGUAAUUGUUAUCACAAUAUUAAGGGUCUGACUGGUUCAAACGCAGCGGUUGCAGUUGCGGUUGCGGGAGUUUGUGGAUGCGGGCGAUUGCGGUUUCUAGCGGUUUUAAGAGAUUUGUACGACUGGUA